UCAGGAUGAACGCUGGCGGCGUGCCUAAUACAUGCAAGUCGAGCGAACRGAUAAGGAGCUUGCUCCUUUGAAGUUAGCGGCGGACGGGUGAGUAACACGUGGGUAACCUACCUAUAAGACUGGAAUAACUUCGGGAAACCGGAGCUAAUGCCGGAUAACAUAUAGAACCGCAUGGUUCUAUAGUGAAAGAUGGUUUUGCUAUCACUUAUAGAUGGACCCGCGCCGUAUUAGCUAGUUGGUAAGGUAAUGGCUUACCAAGGCGACGAUACGUAGCCGACCUGAGAGGGUGAUCGGCCACACUGGAACUGAGACACGGUCCAGACUCCUACGGGAGGCAGCAGUAGGGAAUCUUCCGCAAUGGGCGAAAGCCUGACGGAGCAACGCCGCGUGAGUGAUGAAGGUUUUCGGAUCGUAAAACUCUGUUAUUAGGGAAGAACAAAUGCGUAAGUAACUGUGCGCAUCUUGACGGUACCUAAUCAGAAAGCCACGGCUAACUACGUGCCAGCAGCCGCGGUAAUACGUAGGUGGCAAGCGUUAUCCGGAAUUAUUGGGCGUAAAGCGCGCGUAGGCGGUUUCUUAAGUCUGAUGUGAAAGCCCACGGCUCAACCGUGGAGGGUCAUUGGAAACUGGGAAACUUGAGUGCAGAAGAGGAAAGUGGAAUUCCAUGUGUAGCGGUGAAAUGCGCAGAGAUAUGGAGGAACACCAGUGGCGAAGGCGACUUUCUGGUCUGUAACUGACGCUGAUGUGCGAAAGCGUGGGGAUCAAACAGGAUUAGAUACCCUGGUAGUCCACGCCGUAAACGAUGAGUGCUAAGUGUUAGGGGGUUUCCGCCCCUUAGUGCUGCAGCUAACGCAUAAGC
rnacentral:rRNA from 1 species